rnacentral:rRNA from 1 species
UUUGGUGGUUCGUCGCUGGGGCAACACCCGUUCUCAUUCCGAACACGGAAGUUAAGCCUUUCAGCGCCGAUGGUACUGCACGGGUAGCUGUGUGGGAGAGUAGGACGAGGCCGGGC